rnacentral:rRNA from 1 species
AUGAUUUGGUGCUUGCUCCGUAAAUGAAACUAGAGUACAAGCGAGCGGCGACGGGGUGAGUAACACGUGGGGUAAACCUGCCCCAAGAGACUGGGAUAACACCUGGAAACAGAUGCUAAUACCGGAUAAACAACACUAGACGCAUGUCUAGAGUUGAAAGAUGGUUCUGCUAUCACUCUUGGAUGGACCCUGCGGUGCAUUAGCUAGUUGGGUAAGGUAACGGCUUACCAAGGCAUGAUGCAUAGCCGAGUUGAGAGACUGAUCGGCCACAUUGGGACUGAGACACGGCCCAAACUCCUACGGGAGGCAGCAGUAGGGAAUCUUCCACAAUGGACGAAAGUCUGAUGGAGCAACGCCGCGUGAGUGAAGAAGGGUUUCGGCUCGUAAAGCUCUGUUGGUAGUGAAGAAAGAUAGAGGUAGUAACUGGCCUUUAUUUGACGGUAAUUACUUAGAAAGUCACGGCUAACUACGUGCCAGCAGCCGCGGUAA